CAAGACACUCUGAGUUUCUAAUGUGUUUUUCCAGUGGGCAAAUAGAAUUUCUAAAGUGACUCAGUGCAGAUGAAAUGAUGCCAGCCUUCUCUACCUUACUUCCCGGCAGACUGUGGACCUGCCACCUGACUGGAGAGUGUUGUCAGGAUUUGUGCAAUGCACUCUACACCAAUGAGUACCUGAGAGACCUUGACCUCAGUGAUAAUGCCUUAGGGGAUGAGGGUAUGCAGGUGCUGUGCUGAAACACCCCUCCUGUAAACUACAGACCUUGUGGUUAGCAGAAUGUCAUCUCACAGAUGCGUGCUGUGGAGCCCUUGCCUCUGUCCUCAACAGAAAUGAGAACCUAACACUGCUAGACCUAAGUGGAAAUGACCUCAAGGAUUUUGGAGUGCAAAUGCUGUGUGAUGCACUGAUUUAGCCAUUAUGUAAACUACAGACAUUCUACGUUGACACGGAUCAUUUACAUGAAGAAACGUUCAGAAAGAUGGAAGCUUUAAAAAUGAGCAAGCCUGGAAUCACCUGGUAGUUUCCAAGGAAAGCCCCUGAAUCAGCUGCAUAUAGACUCCCUUGAUCUGCCACCAUCUUUAACAGUUGUGCAAUAUUCUUGUUCUAAACCUGUUAACCAUUGCCAAGGACCCGAAUGUGAAACAAACAGCAGUGAUUUCUAUUUCUUACACAGAAUCAUCCACGAAGUAGGUGUGAAAGGCAGAGGCACUUUAGUUCAAAUGUCUUCAGCAAUAAUACCUUACAUUCAUAUGUUGUAUUAUAAUGUUUACUAUGUUCUCACAGAAACCCUCAAAAGUGGGAAGAUGAGGCUCAGAUAGGCUGUGACUAGCUCUAGGUCACACAGCUCAUUAGUGAGAGAAUUGGGACUGGAAUCUAGCCAGGUUUUACAAUACCCAGACCAGACAGAGAAACAAUAGAAAAAGAAUGUGAAGGAGUCAACUUAAAGAAACAAGAUACUUGAAAUGAUUAAAGAGCAAGAGAGUAUACAAACAUAUAUCUUAUGGUGCUGAUUUUAAGUAAAACUAAUUCACAAAGGAAAGAGAGGAAUGAGUUCCAUUAAUAGGGAAAGGCUUCAUGGAGAUGCAACUUGAUGUGGGCCUUGAGAAUGAGCAGGAUUGAGAUGGGGGGCAGAUACAUAGGCCAGUGGCUGUAAGACUGCAGGCAACAGGGCUGUGUUUGUGAGCUGCUCGCCAAAAGCGCCUAGGGAGAGAAAAAUGUUUGCAUUAGAGUUUCCUGAGCUGUGGCAGUAUCUACAUUCUAGCUGAGGGUGUUCUCUAGUUUCCAGGCUCAACUCCUUUUCUGAACUUCUAAUACCCCAUGUGUUUGUUCUUAUUCAUGGACUCCUAUGGCUGACUCACUCCUCAUCCGUGACAACAAAUUGCAUGGCCUAGCAUGGGUCCUACACAACCCCAUGUUUCUCUCUGCCUAGCUUCUACAAAACACCAGAUGAGACAAGUGGAGGAAGGGAAUGCCAGGCAAAGAAAAUAGCACAAAGUCCAUGAUAUAGGAGUUAAUGUGGUAUGGGAUGAGCAGAAAAGUAGGCUGACCCAAUUAAGAUACACAGGUGUCUCUGGAAGCUACUUGACUAGCUGUGUGACCCUGAACAAGUCAACUUGGAUUCUAACAGUUUCUAGUUUCUCAUCUGUAAAAUGGGGAUAACUUCACAUUAACCUUAUAUGGCUGUUGUUCCUGACAUGGUGCUGACCCACAGUAGGUACUAUAAUGGUAGCUAUUUGUAUGAGUGUGUAAAUGUGAUGAUACAACUCAGCUUGUAGUCUUUGAGCUCCCAGAUUUUCCUGCUGUGUAGUCAGUGUUAACUGUCCAUUUGAACUAAAUGUGUGUGCUGGAGACAGUAAAUCUAGUGGGGGAAGAGACACAUAGUGGGAAGUUACUGCCCGCUAGAGGUCUAGCUGCUCCAUGUCCUCGUCCAUCAUCAUAUAUUGUUCCUUGCUGCCCUGGGAGAUGGUAACUUUCGGUCUGGAGACCACAUCUGGCCUAAGAUGGUCAAAACAGCACUUUGUUUCCAGUUUUCUUAAGUUCUUUCCUUUUAGUUAUUUAAGACUUAUUUAUUGACAAUUAUUAUGUGCCAGGUUUUGUGCUAAGUAUUGGCUUUAUAGAGAUGAAUAUGCCUUUCCCUGUGCACAUCCCCCUCCAUCUUCUCUGACUUCCCUGGUCCCUCUGUCAGUCUGGUAAAAAUCUGAUAAAACUCAGUCACAGUAAGAACUCAGAGAUAUAAUGUUGAAUGAAAGAUUGCAGAACUCUGUGUGUGGGUCUUUGUGUGUGUGUCCCAUUUGUGUAUAAAAGGAUAAAUACACAUGUGUGUGUAUGUGUCCAGAAUAUGUGUGGAAGAAUAUAUACAGGAAAUUGCCAAUAGGAGUUAUCUCUGUUAAGAGGAAUUUGGCAAAGAGGGGCCAUUUUUAUCUAUAGCCCUUUGUUCUACUUGAUGUUUUUACCAUGUGCAUGUAUUAAUUUUAUAAUUAAUAAACUUGAUGUUAAAAAUAAAAUUUAUACUGAGGAGUUAUUUUUCUUCUUUUAAACAUGACAGUUGAGAAGAAAAUAUAGGGCAGACAUUUAUAAGCAUGAUAAAAACCCAAAGGAAAAGAAUGAAAGAUUUGAUAAAAUUGAAAUUAAAAAUACUUUUAUGAGAAAAAUACAUAAAUAAAAGACCAGUGAUAAACUGCAAGAACCUAUUUGGCAUAUUAUAAAGACAAGGCUAAUGUCCAUAAUAUAAAUAACAAAUCAGCAUGAAAAACAAAAUGUGAAGGACUCCUACUUCCAGCAAUGCUGAAGUAACAAUGAAUGGACUCAUCUUCCCACAUUAACAACUCAAAAAAUGGGCAAAAUAUAUGAAAUAGCAGUUUUCAAACAUUGGUGGAGUUGAGAAAAAUAAAAAACAAAUAACUAGGUGGUAGUUUUAAACAGAACCAUAUCAAUAAAUAUAUUAAUGGUCUCACAGCAACCCAAUUAAAAGACUGAGAUUGGUAGAAUAGAAAAUUAGAAAAAAACCUCAACUAUAUGUUGCCUAUAGGAAACCCACUUUAAGUAUAAAAACACAAGUAGGUUAAACAUAAAAGACAGGAAAAUACACCAUGUUAACAUUGAUUUUAAAAAAGCUGGCGUGAGUAUAUUAUUAGAGAAAGCAGAUUGCAAAACAACGAAUAUUACCAGAAAUUCAGAGGGCUAUUUUAUAAUAAUAACGUAGUUAAUUCAUCAUAAGGGCAUAACAGUCCUAAAAAUACUUGCACCUAAACAACACAUUCAAAAUACAUGAAACAAAAACUGGGCAAGGAGAAAUAGACAAAUCCACAAUUUUAGUCAGAGACUUCAACAUCCUUCUCAAUAACUGAUAAACCAAGGAGAUAGAAAAUAAGCAAGAAUAUAUAGAUGAUUUGAACAACAAAAAUAAUAAAUAUGACCUAGUUGACACCUAAGCAACACUCAACCCAACAACAGAAAACGUGUUCUUUACAAAUGCACAUUGACUAUUUACCAAGAUAGACCAGAUCUCGGUCAUACAACAAGUCUCAAUAAAGUUAAAGGAUUCAAGACAUACAAAAUAUGUUCUCUGACCACAAUGGAGGUAAAUUAAAAAUCAGUAAAAGAAAGAUAUAUAGAAAAUUCUCUGAAUGUUUGGAAAAUAAAUAACGCACUUCUCAAUAAUCUAUGGCUCAAGAGUAAGUCUCAAGGAAAAUUAAGUAUUUUAAACAGUGAAAUGAAAACAGGAGACAAAUUUGUGGGAAAUAGCACAGUGCUUAGAGGGACAUUUAUAGCACUAAACAGCUAUAUUAGAAAAGA